AUUGAACGCUGGCGGCAGGCCUAACACAUGCAAGUCGAGCGGAUGAAGGGAGCUUGCUCCUGGAUUCAGCGGCGGACGGGUGAGUAAUGCCUAGGAAUCUGCCUGGUAGUGGGGGAUAACGUCCGGAAACGGGCGCUAAUACCGCAUACGUCCUGAGGGAGAAAGUGGGGGAUCUUCGGACCUCACGCUAUCAGAUGAGCCUAGGUCGGAUUAGCUAGUUGGUGGGGUAAAGGCCUACCAAGGCGACGAUCCGUAACUGGUCUGAGAGGAUGAUCAGUCACACUGGAACUGAGACACGGUCCAGAGGCCUACGGGAGGCAGCAGGGGGGAAUAUUGGACAAUGGGCGGAAGCCUGAUCCAGCCAUGCCGCGUGUGUGAAGAAGGUCUUCGGAUUGUAAAGCACUUUAAGUGGGGAGGAAGGGCAGUAAGUUAAUACCUUGCUGUGUGGACGUUACCAACAGAAUAAGCACCGGCUAACUUCGUG
rnacentral:rRNA from 1 species